UACGUAGGGCGCAAGCGUUGUCCGGAAUUCUUGGGCGUAAAGAGCUCGUAGGCGGCCAGUUGCGUCUGCUGUGAAAUCCCGGGGCUCAACCCCGGGCGUGCAGUGGAUACGGGCUGGCUAGAGGCAGGCAGGGGAGAACGGAAUUCCCGGUGUAGCGGUGAAAUGCGCAGAUAUCGGGAGGAACACCGGUGGCGAAGGCGGUUCUCUGGGCCUGUACUGACGCUGAGGAGCGAAAGCGUGGGGAGCGAACAGG
rnacentral:rRNA from 1 species